rnacentral:rRNA from 1 species
CAGCAGCCGCGGUAAUACAGAGGAUGCAAGCGUUAUCCGGAAUGAUUGGGCGUAAAGGGCUCGCAGGCGGUUUCUUAAGUCUGAUGUGAAAGCCCCCGGCUCAACCGGGGAGGGUCAUUGGAAACUGGGAAACUUGAGUGCAGAAGAGGAGAGUGGAAUUCCACGUGUAGCGGUGAAAUGCGUAGAGAUGUGGAGGAACACCAGUGGCGAAGGCGACUCUCUGGUCUGUAACUGACGCUGAGGAGCGAAAGCGUGGGGAGCGAACAGGAUUAGAUACCCGCGUAGUCCCUGUCUCUUAUAC